UCCACGCCCUAAACGAUGAACACUAGUCGUCGGGGAGCUUGUCUCUUCGGUGAUGCACUUAACAGAUUAAGUGUUCCGCCUGGGGAGUACGGUCGCAAGAUUAAAACUCAAAGGAAUAGACGGGGACCCGCACAAGUGGUGGAGCAUGUGGUUUAAUUCGAAAAUACGCGAAGAACCUUACCUAGCCCUUGACAUUGAAGAAAUAGUACCAGAGAUGGACUAGUGCCCUUCGGGGAAUCUGAAAACAGGUGCUGCACGGCUGUCGUCAGCUCGUGUCGUGAGAUGUUGGG
rnacentral:rRNA from 1 species